rnacentral:tRNA from 2 species
CGUAGCUCAGCUGGAUAGAGCAACGGCCUUCUAAGCCGUGGGUCGGGGGUUCGAAUCCCCCCGGG